AGCGGAAAAAAAAAAAAAAAAGAAAGAAAAAAAAAAAAAAAAAGAGAGAGAGAGAGAGAGAAAGAGAUAGGUAGCUAAAGAUCUUCCUCCCUGCCUGCCUGCCUCCUCCCCUCCCCCGAGACGGGCAGCUCCGAUCCUGCAGAAACGCCUGAAACUGUUUCAGACCAAGACAUGGAAGAAUAUACAACGUGCGAUCCUGAACACGCCAGUCUCCCCAGCGAGGAGAUUAUUAGACUCUCUCCCCAGCGGGGGAUUAGCUCUUGCAGUAAGGUACGCACUGACGUCACCCCCAGCAAUCUGCCCCCGACCUCGGCAGCACCAGCACCAGCAGAGCAGCACCAACCGCCAGCAGGCUAGAGGACAGCUGGCCUUGCUGAGCCCUGACUCAGGCAGGAAACAAACUCAGAAGCGCUAGAUGGGAGUCACGCAGAAAUCUGUGCACGUAAGUGCUGUAACAAAUAGAUGCGGGUAUAGGUCAGGGUAAAAGCUGUUUUCUGCUUGUAAUCCAGAGCAGCUACACAUUAAAAUUGCUCUUUAAAAUCAGCAUUGCAGCUCUGCAGAAGCUAUCCUACAUUGCUUAGGUAUUAAUAUUCCCAUCAGUCACAUUAGUAAAAGCCUUUCCUCACAUUAAAAUAAAAUUUUCCUAGUAACUAAAGUGGCUGACAUCUUUAAAAAAUAAACUUUUCCCUAAGUGACCUCUUAAAUAUUCAAUCUAGCUUGUUUUUAUGAUGCAAAAUUUUGAAACAUUUAAAGUACAAAAUAUUUUUUUCUUAUCACACGUUCAUGUCUACCAUUCUAAAAAGCUCACAACUCUGAUAAUCCAUCUGACAACACAGUCAAUCAAAAAUCCAUCCUACAGCCGUUUCCAAAGAAACGAACACAUAGCCAGAAAGACAGAAUGCUUGAGCUGGAAGGAAACCAACCAAAGGAACACAACAACAGCGACAACAAGAACUCCAAGCAUUUUGCCUUUUUCUUUAAAUUUCCUUGUUUGGACAUAUAUUACAGUGACACAGGUAAUGGUAAACACAAUUACAUGAUAAGUGGCGGUAGUAUUUUAUUUUUUUUUUUAAAUCCAGUCAACUAAAGGCUUUUCUGCUCCUCCCACACACACACACAAGAAGAAGAACUUUUUAAAAAAGGACAAGUUUGCAAGAAAGACAGACAAUCACAGAACUAAAAAAAAAAAAAAACACACCACAUGUCUGAAACCGUUGCUCGCACCUCCUCCUCAUUCUUUGGCUAUCUGUCUCCUGCUUAGGCCUCAAUCUCGUGCGCAGUUUUAGGUGGGUGGACACAAUGGGCUUAUUCACAUGCACCAAACUCGGCACAUGCUGAAGUCUUUGAAGACUCAAGACCAGUACUGGUCAGCUCCUCAGGACUCUCAGGAUUUUUCAAGAGGCUAACACAGUGAAAUUCAGAGGGAGUUGGUUAGGUACCCACUUUUAUCUCCUGUUAACCCCAUUCCUAGUCCGUUAGGUACCUCAGGCACUUCCAAAACAGUUGAAGCUAUGUUUAGGAGUUCCCAAUUCUAUAAACUGUUACUCAAUAGGGAAGUACUGAAGCUGGAAGUGCAUUGUGGCAAAUAGCCUCUCCACAGUAAUAGAUAAUCAGGCAUAUAUAACACAGAUACAUACCAAAUAAACAAUAUAAAUUAUAGUGAAACUUUUGAGGUAAAAAUCAAGCAGUCAUUAUCUUAACAGCAAUGAGCUCACCUGUGAGGCCUUGUUUCUCCAUUCUCUCACACAUCUAUUCAUGUAUUAUGAAACAGCUGUUUGUUGUAUGUCCACAUACUUUUUCCCCCCCCCCCCCAGAGGUCUCUGUGUUUAAUUUUCAAAAAGCCCGUCAGUAUUAUGUUUUAUGUUUAUUUUUGAAAGCGUGGUGUAUGCUUUAUUCACUACACACACAUUCAGAUCCUACUCUGCAUACAGACCUAUUAAUUUCCUUGUGGGCUUUAACGGAUCUUUUUGGUAUUCACCUGCUUUGGAAAUAUUAAUUAGUUUAGUUUCACAAUACACCCCUCAGAUGAGGGGAUAUGAAUAUUACACUUGAGACAGUUAUAGAUCGUCUGGCUUGAUACCUUGUAGACCUGUCAGGACUUGGCAAAUAGAAAACACUUACUUCAAGGCCCAGUUUCCACUGGCUUCAGCUGCAGUAAUCUUACUCACCAAGCAUCCAGAGCUGCUUCUGAUCAAACCCUGGAGUUUUCACACAUCCAAAAACAAGAUGCAAAUAAUUAGUACACAGUGUAACAUUAAAGUCUUAAAACAGCUUUAUCAAGGAGCUCUGUUGCAAAGGCAAGGGCUAAGACAGAAGUCUUCAGGUCAUUCAGCUCUCCAAAGACUUUCAACACUGUUUCUCUUCUAGGACAAAUGUGACCAGUCUUCUGCCAGCAACAGCCACAUCAGUAAUGGCACCCACAUAAUUCAUCCACCGCUGUGAAUUUUCUGCUUCUCCAUGAAGUACCCGCUAGCACAGUCCUGUGUUUGGCUUAGCAUUUGAGGCAGAGCAAGUCUCUCCAGCACUGGAUUUCACAGACUGACUAGGUGCACCGGGUUAAUCUUACCCUCCAGUAUUCAGCAUACUGUCACAUAGCUGGGAGUCACUGGAUGAUUUUUGACAGAAGAAAGCCUCUGAUGAGCCUGAUCUUGAGUGACUGCUGGGCAUUUUGAUCUUCCAUUGAUUCUUAGAAGAUGAAGCUCAACACUUGCAGAACAGGAUUCAUUGUUUUGAGCAAUGCACUGCUCAGAUGAAAAUCUGUGUUUUAGUUUACAUUGCAAGUUAUAACGUACGAUAACGUCCUUCAAAUUUACUGCAGAAAACACGUAACAAUAAGACAGAAGGUGAGGGAUAAAAGUCAAUAGAGAAACCAUGGGUUAAUUAGGUUUUCUACAUAGACACAACGUAUUCUUCUAAUUUAGGAUCACCAAAAGUAAAUAAGACAUACCACCAACUCCCAAAAGGAAGAAUGGCAAUUGUCUUACAAAAAACAGCAAGAAACUAUAAUACAAACAUUAUCAAU